rnacentral:rRNA from 1 species
UACAGGGGGUGCAAACGUUGCUCGGAAUCAUUGGGCGUAAAGCGCACGUAGGCGGUUCGUUAUGUCGGAUAUGAAAGCCCUUGGCUUAACCGAGGAAGUGCAUCCGAAACUGGCGAGCUAGAGUACGAAAGAGGAUCGCGGAAUUCCCGGUGUAGAGGUGAAAUUCGUAGAUAUCGGGAGGAACACCGGUGGCGAAGGCGGCGAUCUGGGUCGAUACUGACGCUGAGGUGCGAAAGCGUGGGGAGCAAACAGG